rnacentral:rRNA from 1 species
UACCUAGGGUGCAAGCGUUGUCCGGAAUUAUUGGGCGUAAAGAGCUCGUAGGCGGUUUGUCGCGUCUGCUGUGAAAUCCCAGGGCUUAACCCUGGGCCUGCAGUGGGUACGGGCAAACUAGAGUGCGGUAGGGGAGAUCGGAAUUCCUGGUGUAGCGGUGAAAUGCGCAGAUAUCAGGAGGAACACCGGUGGCGAAGGCGGAUCUCUGGGCCGUAACUGACGCUGAGGAGCGAAAGCAUGGGUAGCGAACAGG